CGUUAUUCUCCACACAGAGGAUUUAACGACAGUUUUUAUAUUUUUCUUGAAAAGUAGUCCGGCAAACAUGCAUACCACGUGAUCAAGUGCCGUAGAUCAGUAAAAAUAUACGGCACCUUGUUAUCGGGUCGAAAUUGGACCAAGUGACAGGAUAAAUAGACGAACAGAUGUAGAGACGCUUGGACAGCUUGAAAAUAUUGUAAACAAAUCAUCAAAAACAAAUGUUGCUAUCCGUUUUCCACAAUGGGCAUGGAGAAAUUGGAAGUCGUUCUUAGAGGGAAAAUUUAAAGCAGUGAAAGGAAUAAGGAAAUAUCAGUACUUCCGGUUUACUGCAGACGAACCAGGUAUUGUUACCGUGCGAAUUUCAUCUGAUGAUCAAAAUGAGGAAAAGAUUUGUAUUUUAAAGCAUCAGUCUUCGCGUUUUGAAGCGGCUGUAAGACCAGAACCAAUUCAACCAAGUGGGCUUAGUCAACGGCGGCAAACCUACCUGAACAACUCCGUACGUCCAUACGUCAGGCCAGCGUACAGAGACGAGUUUUGCGGUGUACACAUUUGAAGCAAAUGUUAAAAUAGAGAAAUAAAAAAUAUUGAUUGAUAAAACUUAA